GCCAGCAGCCAUAUCACCCUGCAACCCACAGCUGGCAGCCCACUGAAGCUCAGCAGGUGUGAGCCUGGUCAGUACCUGGAUGGGAGACCUCCUGGGAAAAACUAAGGUUGCUGCUAGAA
rnacentral:rRNA from 1 species